CUACUGGUUAGGUGGCCAAGAAUCUUUCAUUUUAGACACAUCUCAGGAGAGCUUGCUGGGAAGGACAGGGAUCAAGACAAAUGACCAAACAAACAUUAUGAUGCAAAGUCCUCCCUUUUUGUAUAUGCAUUGUGAUGGGUAAGCAGGAGAAAUGAUGGUCUAUCUAGAAGGCAAGACAAUGAUCCCAAACAUACAAGCAAAUCUACAGAGAAUGGAUGAAAAAGAACGAAUUGCAUGUUUUGGAAUGGCCAAGUCGAAUUCCAGAGCUAAAUCCCAUUUAGCUACCUCUAAAGUGUUUUGGAAGGACUUGAAAGAGUAGCUCAUGCUAGAAACUCCUCAAAUAUUACUGUAGUCAAGCAGCUUGUUGUGGAAAAAUGGACUGAAAUUCCUGCAAAGUGUUGUGUACUGAUCACCAAUUACAGGAAGUCACAGACAGUCUUGGAAUGUGAUAUGGGCACUUGGUGUCUGGCUCGCAGUUACAACUUCAAAGUGAGCUGUGGUCAUGUGAUUGUGAUUUCACAAUGUUGCCUGCCAGCUUCCCAUAAGCAAAGUCAAUGGGGAAACCUGCAGGAAGAUGGAAAUUGCAAUCAUAGAAGAUCCUAUCUUAACAACUGUACCGUUCUUGUUUAACAAUGACAACUGGGACUGCUGGGAUGGCUGUCAAUCAGCAAUGUGCUUACAGGAUAUUGUGCUUUACAACCACAUUGCUUAGCAAAGGAAAUUCCAGUUCCAAAUACUAUUGUGGCUCAAAGUCUACCCGUAUGGAACAGAAAGUGAACGUUGUUUUUUUGGAAGGAAUAAGCAGGUAUUUCUGUUUUUCAAAUGUGUUAAAUCUAAUUUAUGGCUAACAAUGCUGAUCUUGUGUUCCUUUUCGCCACAUUUUGAGAAUCAAUACCAUUGUCUUUGAGCAAUUGCAGCCAGUUAUUACUCUCUUGCAGUUAGGGAUGUAAGAGAGGGCACCAAAGCUACAUGGUCUGAGGCCUGACAUUGCCUGUUGCCAAUUGAAGCCAUAAUGUGAUUUGUUU